rnacentral:rRNA from 1 species
AGAGUUUGAUCCUGGCUCAGGAUGAACGCUGGCGGUAUGCUUAAUACAUGCAAGUCGUACGAGGGCUUUUAGCUCUAGUGGCGGACGGGUGAGUAACACGUGAGAAUCUGCCCUUAGGAGGAGGAUAACAGCUGGAAACGGUUGCUAAUACUCCAUACGCCGAGAGGUGAAAGGAUUUAUCUGCCUAAGGAGGAGCUCGCGUCUAAUUAGCUAGUUGGUAAGGUAAAGGCUUACCAAGGCGACGAUCAGUAGCUGGUUUGAGAGGAUGAUCAGCCACACUGGGACUGAGACACGGCCCAGACUCCUACGGGAGGCAGCAGUAGGGAAUUUUCCGCAAUGGGCGAAAGCCUGACGGAGCAAUACCGCGUGAGGGAUGACGGCCUGUGGGUUGUAAACCUCUUUUCUCAAGGAAGAAGUUCUGACGGUACUUGAGGAAUAAGCAUCGGCUAACUCUGUGCCAGCAGCCGCGGUAAUACAGAGGAUGCAAGCGUUAUCCGGAAUCACUGGGCAUAAAGCGUCUGUAGGUUGUUUGGUAAGUCUGCUGUUAAAGACUGGGGCUCAACCCCAGAAAAGCAGUGGAAACUGCUAGACUUGAGUGUGGUAGAGGUAGAGGGAAUUCCUAGUGUAGCGGUGAAAUGCGUAGAUAUUAGGAAGAACACCAAUGGCGAAGGCACUCUACUGGGCCAUAACUGACACUGAGAGACGACAGCUAGGGGAGCAAAUGGGAUUAGAUACCCCAGUAGUCCUAGCCGUAAACGAUGGAUACUAGAUGUUGCACGUAUUAACCCGUGCAGUAUCGUAGCUAAGGCGUUAAGUAUCUCGCC